rnacentral:lncRNA from 10 species
CGCCGCCCUAGACCCUGAACUAGACCGCGCUGCGUCGCCCUCCCAGCGCCGCGGGCAUCUCGGCCAAUGGGAGGCGCGGGAGGAGCUCACCUGAGCGGGAAAGAGCCACCUGAGCAGCGCGCGGCUCCCACGGCGGAGACUGUUUCUACUCUCUCACCUUGAGGUGUCGGCGCAUUCUCCCCCUGCUCUCUAUCUCAUCUCCAGCUGUUCUCCGCCCUGCCCUUCCAAGUGCCGUUCCCGGGAGCUGUCUCUUACUAAACCACACCUUGACCUCACCUUCCUAGGUUCCUGCCACCGGGCAGUAAUAACUGAAAUCUACCUUGAAGUUUAUGGCGUAUGUACUUCAAAGUGGAAUUGCAGAUUAUAUGGUAAUUCUAUGUUGAACUUUUUGAGGAAUCACAAAAGUUAAUUUGUUUUUAACUUUAUGGAUGUGUUCAAGCAAAUAAGGAAGCCAUUAGGCCCAUGCGGUGCCUCACACCUGUAAUCCAAGCACUUUGGGAGGCCGAGGAGGGAUCACUUGGGGUUAGAAGUUCAAGACCAGCCUGGCCAACAUGGUGAAACACAUCUCUACUAAAACUUCAAAAAUUAGCUGGGUGUGGUGGCCCGUGCCUGUAAUCCCAGCUACUCGGAGGACUGAGGCAGGAGAAUCGCUUGAACCCAGGUUGCAUGAGCCGAGGUCGCACCACUGCACUCCAGCCUGGGUGACAGAGCAAGACUGAGUCUCAAAAAAAAAAAAACAAGAAGGAGGCCAUUAGCCUGAGGUUGUCUCUGCACCUAGAGCUCUUAUAUAAGCAAACUGAAACUGAAGUGGAAGCAGUUCUUGUAAUUAACUUAAAAAAAAACAAAACCCACCAGCUUCUGCCAAUCACAAACAGCCAACCAGCUGAUUGGAUAUAUAACUAGAGACUUCCCAUCAGACCAUACCCAAAUAAGGCCAAUGCAUAGCUGUAGCCAAUCAGCUGCAAAUAUUUCCUCAUUGGAAAUCUAUAUUCUCAGAACCUA